rnacentral:rRNA from 1 species
UCCCUACGGGAGGCAGCAGUGGGGAAUAUUGGGCAAUGGGCGCAAGCCUGACCCAGCAACGCCGCGUGAAGGAAGAAGGCUUUCGGGUUGUAAACUUCUUUUAAGAGGGAAGAGCAGAAGACGGUACCUCUUGAAUAAGCCACGGCUAACUACGUGCCAGCAGCCGCGGUAAUACGUAGGUGGCAAGCGUUGUCCGGAUUUACUGGGUGUAAAGGGCGUGCAGCCGGGAAGACAAGUCAGAUGUGAAAUCCCGCGGCUCAACCGCGGAACUGCCCCCCCCCCCCCCCCCC